GAGGAUUAGCUCAGCUGGGAGAGCAUCUGCCUUACAAGCAGAGGGUCGGCGGUUCGAGCCCGUCAUCCUCCACCA
rnacentral:tRNA from 7 species